rnacentral:rRNA from 1 species
GACGAACCGUGCGAACGUUAUUCGGAAUCACUGGGCUUAAAGCGCGUGUAGGCGGAUGAGCACGUCUGUCGCUGAAAUCCCCCGGCUCAACCGGGGAACGGGCGUGGAUACGGCUUGUCUGGAGGGGCGUAGGGGGACCUGGAACUUCCGGUGGAGCGGUGAAAUGCGUAGAUAUCGGGAAGAACACCAGUGGCGAAAGCGCUCUACUGGGCCAUAACUGACACUGAGGGACGAAAGCUAGGGGAGCGAAAGGG